AAUUUAUCAAGAAAAGUGGAGGGAAAUGGCCCGUUGAAGCUUUAGCAACCUGAUUAUAUUAUCAAGGUGCUAAUUCCAGCCUCGUAAGAGGAGAGAUAAUAA
rnacentral:ncRNA from 1 species